UUCGGUUGUUGCGCAAGUCUGAGGUAUUCCUGUGGAUCGCUUUGAAAGAAAUCUGACAAUCAUGAAAUCAGUUUGAACUUGACAACCUGGUCGGUUGUAACGAACGCCUGGUUCAUGCUUCACAAUUAUUGUUUUAGAAGUUUGUUAAGUUUUGAAAUAUUCAAACAAAAGAAAUGGGUUUUCCUGUGUUGUCUUCUUUUUGCGGCCUUAGUUUAAGAACUGGCGGAUUGAUAAUUGGCUAUAGCCAAUUUUUCUUAUCAGCCAUUAUGAUUAACUGUGCCUUCAACCUUUCCACGCAAUCCAUAGCAUUUUCUGCAUUUUUCGUUAUAUGUAUGAUAACCGGUCUUCCUUUCAUCUUUGGAAUUCUCUUGAAUGAACCCGCAUGCUUGCGACCAAACAUUAUUUGGGGGAAGAUCGUGUUUGUGCUUGGUAUUGUUUUGUGCCUUUGGUUUGCCGUAUGGGAUGUAUUAUUUGUAAUUGGUAUGGUUGCUGACCUCAUACCAAUGUAUAAAAUGGCUAAUGUAAUAAUGUCAGUGCAUAUUGCGUGGCUAGUCUGUGCGAUAGUUACAGUAUUGUCAUGGUAUUUGGUAUCGCUGAUGAGCUCCCUAUAUGAAUCAGUCACGGACGUCGAAUCUCACGAAAAUGCUCACGUCGACAACGUUAAUAUUGACGAUGAUCAAUUUGAAGAACAACAUACUCUUUUAACAUUCAAAAUUUAUGAAACAAUCAAAUCAGAUGCUCAACAUGUUACCAAAUACAUCAAAAACUCCUUUGAAUCGCUUGAGAAAUAUUUCAAUAGAUUUCAAGAAUAUGUUGCGCGCAAAUUGGCUGAAUUCGUUGAAUUACCCGUUGAAACAACAGAAACGCCAGAUAACGUUUGCCAUAUAAAAAUGGAUGAACAAAAUGAAGAAAAAAGAGCAAGAAAUGAAAAUGAUUCAUGUAAUAUAACAGUAGAAACGGAUGCUGAAAUCAUAGCAACGAAACAAAACGAUGUGGUCGAAAAGGAAACGGUUUGAAAACAUUGCAUCAAAACCUUAAUCUCAUUUCUUCCAAUCGCUCGAAAAUCAAAUACCUAAAAUCGUUGUCGAGAGCAAUCACAAUAAGAUAUGAUUUUAAUGCGGGCACAGAUGUUUUCCCAAAACAAUUCUGCACUAAAAAAUAUGAUUGAAUGAAAUUCAAAUCAAGCAAAGGAAUUUGUUUUCGUUUUGUUUCACUUUUUUUUUUGUAUCAAACACAAUAGGUUUAUAGCCAUAAUGUGCAAGUUGCUGCUUUGGACAUUAACUUUGGAUAUUAAGGUAGUAUAUUAAUCUACUUUCACUAAAUGCACAUGUUUCGCUAAAACGGAAGAUUGUUACAGAGCAGAUUCUGCGAAAAAUGUGUAUGCCACUGCGUCAAUACAUUACACGUUUGAAUGAGUACAACGUUGUCGCUUCAAUCGAAAGGUCACGCAAGCAUCAGAAAUGUUUCGUAUUUGUUUACAUUCAAACAUUUCGGUUUAGCGUAAGUUUAUGAUGUGCCGGUAAUGCGUUCGUUGAUGCCUUCUAAGCUCAAACAUCAGAUGUGACAAUGUUUAUAAACCGAAUUGUACGCCGGUAGAAAUGACGUCAAUAUUACGCUAUCAUUUAUUUUGAUUUUGCUCUCAAGCGUUUAAGUUAAGCUCACAUAUUUCAUUUCAACUUUGAUGCAAAAGAAUGCAAAAUACGCAAACAUUUCGAUGACGUAAGUUUCGAUGGAAUCAAACAAUUUCUAUGAAACAAAGACUAAGAAAAAUGAGCCAGUGGAAGAGAAGAUUGGAGUAGAGAAGAAAUAAUUUGUUCAGAGGACAAAAUCAAUGAUGAUAUUCCGAAUGGAAGAUUCCACUACCAAAAAGCAAAUUUCGCAUUCAGUAUAAAACAGAGCUGAAUGAAGCGGGAAGAAAGGAUGUGGAUACAAGACACCAAAACUUCAAUCGGCUGACAAUUUAUUCACAUUUCGUGGCAAUAACAUAUCAUACAGCUUACGCCUAUACGUACAAUGUGCUAUCGCAUUUACUUCACAACACAUACGCAUUUCGAUUCUUCUGUAUCGCACUCACACUCUGCGGUUUUUGAGUGAAUUCGUGCUUGCGCUGCAUAAAUUUGUGCUGCGUCGUUUUUACUUUUCUGUAUGAGUUUGCGUAAGUCGCGAACACAGUGAAUGUGUUCAACAUCGCUUGUGAUGUUCAUAUUCGGAAUGACUAUACAAAAACAAUUAUUUUGAGCUGCUUUCGCCAGUUAUUCGUACACAGUUGAGCUGUCUGCUGAGUCCAUUGAACAGAGCAUUUUGUUAACAAAAUGGAAUCAACCGAAAGAUCUUGGUUUCGCAUUGGUCCACGAAUUGGUGGCUUGAUAAUCGGCUAUACAUUUACAUACAUAGCCUCUUUUCAACUGAUUUUCUCUCAAUAUCCGGAUAUUUUGUCCAUUUUUUCUGUUGUUCUGCUGAGCUUAAGUGUCAGAUGGAAUUGUGGAAUCAUAAGCAAAACACCUGAAUUUCUCUGGACAUUAUUAUGGUUUGUGAAAUUAGUAUUUGCUUUGGGCGCUGCAGUGUGCAUCACGCUGAUAAUUAUGGAAUUCUUUGUAUUGGCGGUAUACCUUUUAAAACUUGAAAAUGGUUUCGCCGAUGCAGAUGAUAUAAUGAAUAUUUUGAUUUUCUUGGGUCCAACCAUGGUUUUAAUGUGGUAUUUAUCGUCAUACAUGGAUUCCAUAUACACGUCAGUAAAAGAAUUAGCUGACUCAAAUGGGCAUCCUCGCACAGUUGAACCACAUUCAAGACUAAUUCAAGAAUAUUUGGAAAAACUAAAAGAGCUGUCUGACAAAAUCAUAAACAAAUCAAGCGAACUAUUGGAAAAACCCUUUAAAAAUUGGCACACAAAUCAAGAAGAUAAGAAUGUCGACAUUGAAAAUUCCAACUUUUUAAAUGGCGAUUUUUGUGAAAUUAUCAUCGAUCCAAAAACAAAUCAAAUACUCGCAACAAAAGAAUCAGAAGCAUCCAAACAAUAAUUCACUGAUGAUUCUCAUCAAUUUAAUGAAUUAUCUGGGCAGAUGUUACAGAGUGUGUGGCGCAAUUUGGAUUAUUAAAGCAUAUCAACAAUUCAAUAGAAUUUUGACUGUAUAUUGUAUAAUAUAACUACACACGGUUCGAAAUCUACGUACACAUCUAUACGAUUUUCAGUAGCAGCGCCGUAGCCAGACCGGCGCAAUGGGUGCAUUGCACCCUCCAAAAAUUUCAAAGGUGCAACAAAAUCGGAUGCAAAAUCGGGUUUCAAAGGUGCAACAAAAGAAAAAUUUCGAUUUUGCACCCUCCAAUUUUUUUUCUGGCUACGGCGCUGUUCAGUAGAGUUGAGCGGUCUAUACGAUUUUACGUAUAGUCUGACGUUUAGAAGCGGUUUUUGCGGAGAAACAUACAUUCUGUAGCGUUGACAGAUGCGUAGUUAACUAAUACAAGCGCGGAAUAUAUGUUUCUCCACAAAAAACGCUUCUAAACGUCAGACUAUACGUAAAAUCGUAUAGACCGCUCCACUCUACUGAAAAUCGUAUAGAUGUGUGCGUAGAUUUUGAACCGUGCAUUUUUUUGAUUUCAUUGAAUAAACUGGUUUAUAUACUUUGAUCGCCAAACACAACAAUUCGUAGAAUCGCUAAAUUUGACUACAGCCGACACUUUUUACAUAUUAUUUAUACUUGUGAUGUAUGCAUACUGCGCACAACACAGGUCAGACUCAAUGAAAACCAUUUAUACUCACACUUGGAGUUUGAGUGAUAAUUUGAGGUUCAGUGCGUAUGAUAAUGUCUCCUAGCGUUGUCACUUGAGUAGAAUUGAUCUUCUCGAUAGAGUGAUAAUUUGAAACUUAGCUUCUUUUAAUCGCAUAGGGCUCAAUUCAAUGAGAAGAAUUCAUGGAUAAAGAAAAGGUAAAUAUUGGAACCAUUGAUGAAGUCAAUGGAAAUGUCCAUAAUUUAAGUUGAACCAUCAACUUUAAACUACCAAUCUUUACACAGAAUAUAGUGCAUCUCCAACACAUAGUAUCUGUUACAAUCCCUCAGCACAGUCGAGUAACAUAUAGACAGUGUGCGUGUCGAGAAGAACGAAAUCACAAAGCACACAACUUAUAUGAUGAUCUCUCAAAAAAUCAGAGCUUGCAACGGCUUUAAUGCAAACAGGUCUUUGUAUCGAUCGAUGUAUAAAUUGCAUAUUCACCUUUUCAGUCGGACAUCCAAUGUCAUGCAUGCGCUCAUCACGUUUCGGUGAAGAUUUCUCAUUCGGUUUUUUUGCUCGCUUUAGCCGGUAUUUUGCAUGUAAACAUCAUGACUCAUCAUUGAUAUACCUACCACAUGUCUACCGUAUGAUUUUAGAGCAGCAAAAUGCCUUAGAUUUUGCAUCUCUGCAGAUAUUCAAUAGGUAUCGAGCGCCUGUAUGUGAGCAUCAGUGCAUCUCACGUGCGUGGAUCGGUAAACUUGAUAUCAAACGCACUUCAGUCUUUCAACAUCGCUUCAAAGCAUAAACAAAAAAAAAGUCACCAUUUUCAAAUUGAUCAUAACAACUUGCGUGAAUUUCACCUGAAAAAUCGUGUAGAAUCUAUGGAUUUUAUCUGAUUCGCGAAAAAACAUUUUUUUUCAUUUGCAAUAUUUCAUUUCUUUCUAUCUCAAACCAAUUUGUGUUCGAUUCCAAAUAAAACGAGUGAAAAUAAGCGCGUAUCGAUUGUUCUGUUUUACAAUCCAAACGAUUCAUUCCCCAUUGAAUUUGCGGUGGCUUUUGCUGUGAUUGGUUGGUUAGUCACGAUCGUUAAAUAUUCAUUCUGUCAACAUAUACGGGCCACAAAGCGUCAAAACAAUGCUGAUUAUAAUGCCGUUUGCAUGCAGUAAUUUAAAAAUCCAUCAAAAAAGUGUUCAAUAUAUUUAGGUUUAACAGAAAUAUAAACAUAUCGUCAAUUCGCUACACUGUUUGAUUGUUGUGUUUUACUUUGCAUUGCUUUGCAUGUUUGGAAGAAGAGAGCAAGCAUUAUAACCGUCAAUUUUCAAAUACGGGCUUCCAGCAAAGGAGUAGCGAUGCGGUUUUCGUGAGCAGAACGCAAUGAAGAGGCAAAAAUGAAUACAUAAAUGAGCACAAAAUUUGCACACCAACAGCGGAUAAACAUUUGGUUUAUUGCCCAAGCAUAUGUGUUUAUAUUGUGUUUGUAUGUAUUGACCGGAUUCUCGCGAAUUAUCGCUUUGUUAUGCAUUUGGUUUUUUUUUCACGUCUUGUUCUUCUCAUGGUGUUAUGCAUUCGCACUGCGUUUAGCCGCCAUAAAGGAUGAUGAUAUGAAGCAGACGCGUGAAGCAAUAUAUUUCGCGUGAAUAACUUGCUAAGAAAGCAUUUCUCUGUAUAAAACACAGAAUUGAUUUUACGAGUGUGUAUGUUUAUAGCUUCCGUUGGUUUGAAGGAGUCAUAAUGCAGCAAACACAUAGAACGAAUUGCGUCUUACAACUCGAUCACUUCAGUUUCAAACAGCGAUCUGAUCAUACGUGCUAAGCAGUCGUCUUAGUGGAAUAAAAUUCUGCAUCCUAACAUUUCAAUACUAUUCCGAUUUGAAUUGUGUAAAUCCAUAAGUGAAGCAAAAAUAUUCUGCGAACAUUUACGACAUCAAAAUCGUUUUCUUUAGCCAAAUUUUGACUACAAGUACAUUGCGACCGAAGUGAUUUUUUUGGAAUAAUUAAUCAACGCGAAUACGUAGAACACGUAAAUUGUGACCUCUCAAGAGUUGGUUUGAUAAAAAGAAGACAACGAAACUUUCAUGGGCGCUUUAAGCAUUACAAGUUGUUGUUGCUUUGAUUUGGAUAUUGGAGGCCUAAUCAUUGGUUACCUUGAAUUGUUUAUAUACAUAAACAACUCUUACAACGCGUUCUCUAAUCCAUUUUUCAGCCAGCCUGGUUGGACUUUUUUGCCGAUAUUGAUCUGUGUCUGCUGGAUCUAUGGUGUUCAUUCCAGACGCAUCGCCUUUAUGAUGCCAAGCCUUGUAGUAUGGGCCAUUGCUUUUAUCAUUUGCACGAGCCUUUUGAUAAUCUUUCCGUUUGUAGCAUUGGCUUGCGACAUCCAAAUUCACGAGCAUUUACCCGUUUUAAUGGCCGACCAUCUUACAAAGUAUACUGGCGCUGUUUUCUUCGCUGCACUCACCAUCUGGGCAAUCAUUUCAGCAAUCAUAUGGUUCAUUACAGCCGUGAAAUAUUCACUGUACAAACAGAUGCAAACAGCCAUCUAUGGUAGAAACGCUGAUGUAUACACCGAAUGUAUCAACGUUUCGGUUUAGUCACACAUUUUGCUGCCUUCACAAAUAAUACUUUUACAUAUUUCUGGACAUGCAGAAUGCUUACUAUAAACGGAGACUUUAAGCGCUCACAUUUUUAGAACAAACCCAAAAUUAUGGAAUAAACUGAAAAUGAAGUAAAAAAAA